UGGGGGAUAUUGCACAAUGGGCGAAAGCCUGAUGCAGCGACGCCGCGUGGGGGAUGAAGGCCUUCGGGUUGUAAACUUCUUUUGCUCUGAACAAGGCGCACCAUGGGGUGUGUUGAGUGUAGGGGUUGAUUAGCGCCGGCAAACUACGUGCCAGCAGCCGCGGUAAUACGUAGGGCGCGAGCGUUGUCCGGAAUUAUUGGGCGUAAAGGGCUUGUAGGUGGCUGGUUGCGUCUGUCGUGAAAGCUCAUGGCUUAACUGUGGGUUUGCGGUGGGUACGGGCUGGCUUGAGUGCAGUAGGGGAGGCUGGAAUUCCUGGUGUAGCGGUGGAAUGCGCAGAUAUCAGGAGGAAUACCGGUGGCGAAGGCGGGUCUCUGGGCUGUUACUGACACUGAGGAGCGAAAGCAUGGGGAGCGAACAGG
rnacentral:rRNA from 1 species